rnacentral:rRNA from 1 species
CAGUCGCCGCGGUAAUACAGAGGGUGCGAGCGUUAAUCGGAUUUACUGGGCGUAAAGCGUGCGUAGGCGGCUUCUUAAGUCGGAUGUGAAAUCCCUGAGCUUAACUUAGGAAUUGCAUUCGAUACUGGGAAGCUAGAGUAUGGGAGAGGAUGGUAGAAUUCCAGGUGUAGCGGUGAAAUGCGUAGAGAUCUGGAGGAAUACCGAUGGCGAAUGCAGCCAUCUGGCCUAAUACUGACGCUGAGGUACGAAAGCAUGGGGAGCAAACAGGAUUAGAGACCCCCGUAGUCCCUGUCUCUUAUAC